UACGAAGGGGGCUAGCGUUGCUCGGAAUUACUGGGCGUAAAGCGCACGUAGGCGGUCUUUUAAGUCGGGGGUGAAAUCCUGGAGCUCAACUCCAGAACUGCCUUCGAUACUGGAAGACUUGAGUCCGGGAGAGGUGAGUGGAACUGCGAGUGUAGAGGUGAAAUGCGCAGAUAUCAGGAGGAACACCAAUGGCGAAGGCAGCACUCUGGGACGUGACUGACGCUGAGACGCGAAAGCGUGGGGAGCAAACAGG
rnacentral:rRNA from 1 species